UGCAUAUUUUUUCCAUCAAUUUCCCCUUUUGUUGUUGGUACGCUUGGUAUUGUGUGUGGUGGGGGUAUUUAACGCAUCUGCCUCCGGUUCCGUCCACAUUUCUUAAAGCCAGAUUCUCCCAUUCUGGUGGGCCGAGGCGUCGGACGCGCACGGCCAAGAUGGUGAACAACCGGAUACCCUCGGUCUUCAGUAAGACCUAUGUUACUCCCAGGAGACCAUACGAGAAGGCUCGUCUCGACCAGGAACUUAAGAUCAUCGGCGAGUACGGUCUCCGUAACAAGCGUGAAGUAUGGAGAGUCAAGUACACCCUGGCUAAGAUCCGUAAGGCUGCCCGAGAACUUUUGACUCUGGAAGAGAAAGACCAGCGCCGUCUUUUCGAAGGUAACGCACUGCUGCGUCGUCUGGUGCGCAUUGGAGUCUUGGAUGAGUCUCGCAUGAAGCUUGAUUACGUCCUUGGUCUUAAGAUCGAAGAUUUCUUGGAAAGGCGUCUGCAGACCCAGGUGUUCAAACUUGGACUUGCCAAGUCUAUCCACCAUGCUCGAGUGCUGAUCCGUCAAAGACACAUCAGGCGGAUUACGAAGUGAAACCAAAUUCACUCUUCUCCUGACUGAUCAUUUAGGCCACUUAAGUGGAGCUUGCUCCCUUAACGCCCAUUACCCUGAUUGCAACUUCACUAGGGCCACUUGGUCAGAGCUUGCUCUACCUAUGCCUGAUUGCAUUACACUGGGAAGCAUGCACAUUGGAGAGUCCGCAAGCAGGUGGUUAACAUUCCCAGCUUUGUCGUGCGGUUGGACUCCCAGAAGCACAUCGACUUCUCCCUCAAGUCGCCCUUCGGUGGCGGCAGGCCUGGCCGUGUCAAGAGGAAGAACCUGCGCAAGGCUCAGGGAGGUGGCGGCGGCGGUGGUGAUGAGGAGGAAGAUUAAGCUAUGUGGAGCGCUGAUGCUCCAUUGUUUGAAUAAAUUUCUCCUUACACAA